rnacentral:rRNA from 1 species
CCUACGGGAAGCAGCAGUGGGGAAUUUUGGACAAUGGACGCAAGUCUGAUCCAGCCAUUCCGCGUGCAGGACGAAGGCCUUCGGGUUGUAAACUGCUUUUGUACGGAACGAAAAAGCUCUUAUUAAUACUAGGAGUCCAUGACGGUACCGUAAGAAUAAGCACCGGCUAACUACGUGCCAGCAGCCGCGGUAAUACGUAGGGUGCAAGCGUUAAUCGGAAUUACUGGGCGUAAAGCGUGCGCAGGCGGUUAUAUAAGACAGAUGUGAAAUCCCCGAGCUUAACUUGGGAACUGCAUUUGUGACUGUAUAGCUAGAGUACGGCAGAGGGGGAUGGAAUUCCGCGUGUAGCAGUGAAAUGCGUAGAUAUGCGGAGGAACACCGAUGGCGAAGGCAAUCCCCUGGGCCUGUACUGACGCUCAUGCACGAAAGCGUGGGGAGCAAACAGGAUUAGAUACCCUGGUAGUCCACGCCCUAAACGAUGUCAACUGGUUGUUGGGUCUUCACUGACUCAGUAACGAAGCUAACGCGUGAAGUUGACCGCCUGGGGAGUACGGCCGCAAGGUUGAAACUCAAAUGAAUUGACGG